AUGAGUAAAAGUUUGCUGACGGCAGUUUCACAAGGGGGAAAAGUGGAUUCCAGCUACAGAGAAAUAGUAAGAGCCAAAGCUGAGAGGCAGAAAACGUACAGCAGCUACACAGAAGAGAUUGGGGGAGAGGCUAAUGAUGACAAGAAGCCAACCACUAGAUUCUAACUAGAGGGAGAAACAGAACUUUGCUUUGUGGUGGAGGCAUCCUAGUCAGUUCAGGUGGAGUUGUUGACUGGCAUGGCAGGGAUCUCUGGUACAGAGCUGACCUGAAACAAGAAAUUCACUUUUGAUGCUGGUGCGAAGAUGGCUGUUUUCACUUGGCAUGGCUGUUCUGUGCAACUGAGCGACCGCACUGAGGUGGCUUAUCUCUCCAAGGACACUCUUUUGUUGCUUUACCUCAACAGUCACACAGCUUUGGAACAGAUGCAGAGGCAAGUGGAAAAGGAAGAAGAGGGAGGCACUUGAGUGAUGGUAGUGGGCCCCACUGAUGUGGGCAAAUCUACAGUAUGUCACCUUCUGCUCAACUAUGCAGUGUGUUUGGGCCACUGUCCCACUUAUGUGGAGCUGGAUGUGGGCCAGGGUUCUGUGUCCAUCUCUGGUACCAUGGGGGCCCUCUACACUGAUCAGCCUAAAGAUGUAGAACGUUUCUCUAUCCAGGCCCCUCUGGUGUAUCAUUUUGGUUCCACCACUCCUGUCACCAACAUCAAGCUUUAUAAUCAGAUUACAUCUUGUUUAGCAGAUGUGUUCAAACAAAGAUGUGGGGUGAAUCAAAGGGUAUCUGUGAGUGGCUGUGUCAUUAAGACCUGUGGCGGGGUCAAGGGCUCUGGUUACCAGGCUCUGGUGCAUGCAGCCUCAGCAUUUGAGGUGAAUGUUGUUGUGGUUCUGGAUCAAGAAUGACUGUACAAUGAACUGAAACGGGACUUCCCCCACUUUGUACGCACUGUGCUGUGUAAAUCUGGGGGUGUGGUGGAGUGCUCCAAGGACUUCUGGCGGGAGUGUAGGGAUGAGCUUCUUAUCUGUGAGUAGUUUUAUGGAUUCCAAGGCUGUUUCUAUCAUGCCUUCAAUGUCACAUUUUCAGAUGUGAGAAUCCACAAAGUUAGGGCACUGACCAUCCCAAAUUCCUAUUUACCUUUGGGCAUGUCUUAGGAGGACAAUCAUCUCAAGCUAGUACCUAUCACUCCUGGCAGAGAUAUGGUGCACCAUCUACUGAGUGUCAGCACUGCCGAGGGGAAGAGGAGGACCUGUUCAAGACAAGUGUAGCUGGCUUCAUUGUGGUGACCAGUGUGGACCCGGAGCAUCAGGUGUUUACUAUUCUGUCCCCAGCCCCUGGCCCACUGCCUAAGAACUUCCUUCUCAUCCUGGAUAUCCAGUUCAUGGAUCUGAAGUAGAGAUCAGCAGGAUGCCUUGCUGCCCUGGACAUAGAGAUUUUCUGGCUCUCCUAGAGGCAGCCAGGCUGAGAUAAGAGACUGUUGGGGCCACCUGACCAGUAAACUGUGGACUAGUAGAAAGAAUAUAUUCUGCCUCUAAAAACAGGUUGUGGCAACCUGACUCUUCUAAUCUUGAACCAAAAGGAAAACCAUGAGACUGGUUUCUUAGAGCACCUAAGAUGCUACUUUGAAUUCUUCAAGACCCUGAAGAAUUGCAUUUCUUUCACUAUGUUACUAUGUGGUUUUUAAACAUCACUGCUUUAUAUUCCAUAUGUGCUACUUACUCAUUCAUCUAGGAUGAAAGUGUGAAUUAAAGGGACUCUUUUCAAUAAAGUUCAAACUU